AUGACCAUAAAAUUGUCCAUAUAUUAAAGUAAUAGGAAAGGUUUCACUAUUUUCUCUUGGUACAAAGUGUUCAUGUAAUUCUGCUGCCAUGCCCAUUCUGUCACAAAGGAUGCUUUCGUAUGCAUUUCUGUUCUAUCUGCCCGCUCCUCCUGUGGGGAAGUCUUAUUUGCUUGUUUUAACUUUUCACUUCGACAGUUUUACUUGGAUGGUGUAAAUCUACAUGUUUCAAAAAUCUUAAAGAUCUUUCGUUUCUUAUUCACCUUGAUUACUCUCACUUUUCUUUUUUAUUCAGAUAGCACACCUCCACAUUUUUAUAAAAUCUCGUAAAGAUCAUGACUUUCUAUGCACUCCCUUAAUCACUAUCCUAGCCAUUUAGUUUAGUAUUUAUAUCCAAACCUCAAGUAUGGGAAAAUUUAUUUCCAGGAGUUCAGGAUAACUUGUAUAAAAAUAAUCCAUGAUAUUUAAUUCACCUUGAUAUUUACAAAAAGAAUUAAUCCCCGAGUACAGGGAUUAAUUUCACAGGGGCCUGCCAGGUCGCUCACUGUAGCAGGCAGGCCCCACACACACACACACACACACACACACAUAUAUAUAUAUAUAUACUGUGGUGGACCCCACUGUGUGUGUGUGUAUCCUGGCAGGACCUGUGAAACAGGUCCUACUUCAAGCAGGAUUGUUAACAAAAUAUAGCAAGCUGCAAGACAUAAUAAAAAUGCAUUGCAGGUCUGGCAUUUUGCAGACCGGCCUGUGUAACUUUAACCUGCUACACGAAAAUGAGAGUUUUUCCCCAAUUAUACUGUGGAGAACUUUGAAGUUCUCAACUCAUGGAGUACUUAUUGGUGAUAUCGUUGUGCUUCAGGGGUUCCUACCAGUUGAAGCUUCAGUUUCAGAAGUUGAGGUGUGGGGAUUAGGAGGGAAAAAUGCCAGAAAAGUUCAAGCUUCUUAUAAGAAGAGAGAAGAAAUUUUUACCGAGCAAAGGCGAAAAGUAACCAAGUUCUUGAGCAUGUUAGCUUUCCAAAGGUUAAUUGGGCUACAGUUACUGAUAAUAUAUUUCUUUCUGACUAUUGCAGGUUGACCUGAAAACCUUUGCCAGUUGGGAAGACUCGCCGGAGAAGAUGAUGAUGGACAUGGUGUCUAAUCCGGAAACAGUUCGGAGAGAAGAUCGAUGAAUAAUUCUCGUCUGCCAAAUCAGAUUAUGAUCCACGAGAGUGCAAAUAUAUAUAUAUAUAUAUAUAUAUAUCACAGUUGAUUGUUUGAGACGCUUGGCUGUGGCUAUAUUGCUUGGGAUUUUAUAGAAUACUUUCACUGGGAUAUAUUAAUACUUGUUCGCUUAUGAAGUAAAUUAAAAUGGUUCUUUUUCUUCAAGCCUGUAAGAAUUAUUUGGGGUCUAUAACUUUUUAAGUUUCUUCAUGGUGUAUAGUUGCUCGAAUGAGUUCAGUUCAUUGAAAAUAGAGCACCUCUCUCUAUCUCUCUCUUGCAGCUCUUUUGCAAUGUUAUGAGAAUCAAGAAUCAUGCCUUGCCCACAAAUGAAUUCACCUGGCGCGAUGUCCCUGCACUAUUAUGCAGAGUGAUACUCAAUAUUUUCGGAAUAAUGCUACUUGUAUAUAAUUGUUUACAUGUAGAUAAGGUGUUAAAAAGAGAAUGAAAAAGUUUAAAUUUUGUAUUUAGUUGAAGAAAUUUUGAUUCUAUCAUAUCUGACUAGGGCGAUUAUGGUUCUGUAUGGAUGGUUUGAGACAAAAUUUCAAACUAAGCCUUUAAAGCAAUUUGAAAUUUUUUCGAACUAAAUCGAACCAUUUUGAUUUUUAAACCAAAUCAAUUCAAAUCACUUUUUUCAGUUUGAUUUGGUUUAAAAUCACGAUUUAACCAAAAAAGAAAUUAAUGUAUAUCAAAUAAGUUGAAUAAUAAAUAUUAGUUUAAAAUUUCACGUUAAAACAUAAAUUAUAGCCUUAAAAGUGUUACAAAUUAAAGUUUUAUAAUUCUAAUCAUUUUAAUGGAACAUCAAGAUAUAAACAUUUUAACUUGUUAGUCGAUACUAAUUAGAACAAUAUUUGCAAUUGAAACACAAAAUUCACUCUCCAUAAAGAUUGUACGUAAUUUUUUUUUUAUUAUGGUUAAAUGAUAUAAAACAACUAAUAAAAGAAAAUGAAUAGAAAGAUCAAUUACGAUGAUACCUAAUAUAACUUUCUGUAAAUCAUCCAAUGCUUCCACUUCAUCCAAAUGUUGAAGAAUUGCUAUAGGUUUCUUUCUAUUAUGCAGUGGAUUUUUAGGACAAAUCACCGUCUAAACUAUAAUGGUACUCAACGAACUCUCAAAGGAAUUAAGAAUUUGACUGCUAAUAAGGAAUAUAGAUUCAAAAACAAUUGUUGAUAUUUGAAUAGUUAAUACAUCUUUAACAAUUUGAGGGACAAUCUUCUAUUUAUUUAUAUUUAAUUUCCAACAAAGUGAUAUGUCGAAAAGUUCAUUGGUCAAAUCUUCAAAAUGACUAUUUAAGUAAUCCACCAAAUCAUUUUAGUAUUUAACAGUGCAAUUUGGAAAUUAGGUUAAAAUGUAAAUAAUUAAUUGAGUGAUUUGACUAGAAAAUUAAGACGCAGAUAAACAAAAAAUGCUGCCAGCUAAAAAUUUAACGAGGUCCACAAUUUAGAGGAGAAUUGUCGCAAAGGCUUCUGGCCGAGGAAAUAUGUGUCUAUAACGACACCACAAACUGUCUUGAUUGACUUUCAACUCAAAAAUUAGUUUCAAUUGCACAUGCAAAAUAGAAUCAAAAGAAAUAAAUAUGCAACCAUUCAAGAGAAAAUGAACGACAUUAAAUAUUUGAUUAUAUUUUGUGUAAAAUUUAUCAUGUUCUUCGAUAGCUUGUCUUGAAAUUCUAUUAUACUUUUUGCCGAAAGAAUAGUGCACAAAGUGGUUGUUCUGAGAACCUUAUAUAGUGACGUUGCGAAAUCAGAUUUUAUUAUUCCACUUGAUCGUCGAAUAUUUCUUUUGUUUCAAAUUAAUAACCGAACCUUUUUUUUUUUUCAUUUUUAAUUCUAUUGCAUUCUGAAAUUAAUAUUUGCUAUUUUAUUAAAUGAAACCACCCUUCUCAUUUAUUUGGAUAAAUAUUUAUGGUUUUCUUUAUGGUUUCCUCUUACAUGCUAUCCACUGGUUUCAGAAAUGCUUCAGCUUAACUUUUGAGAACGGAAUAUCUGAACAAACUGCAGUGCAGAAAGAAUUGCCGGUGUUGUUAAGCCAUCUGGGUUCUGCAAUAGUUGACUUAUUUUUCUUGGCGGAUAAAAAUGGAGUGAGUUGGAUUGAAUUCCUGAAAGGGUACGUGAAAUGCUGCGGAAGAACAGUCGCUUCAACAUCAUUAACUAACUUAUUCCAAGUUUUUUCCACGAUGUUUUCAAAGGCAGGACUUCCAGUUAAGCUGCAAUUUGAGUCAUAUGAGGAUGACUGUAAAAUCAGCGGGUCAUUACUGCCCAUUGAUUUGCUAUUGCUUCUUUGGAUUUGUUGGAUUUUGUUGUCAGAUUCUAGGAAGUUAAAGCUGAACUUACAAAAAAGCAGAGGGGAUUGGAGUCUUCCGGAUAUUUCCCAUUUGGUUUUAUCAGCCAUUGAAUCUUGUGCUGAAGGUGGUCACAAAUUGGAUCAUUGGGAUUGCAUUGUUUCAGACUUGGAUGUUCUCCUUCCUGUUAUGAAGAUUCAUUUAUGGGCAUUGAAAACUGUACCAAAUCUAGCUGAUUGCUUUGUGCAAUUUGUCCAUGCGAGACUCUGCUGCUCGGCAACUCAUGAGGUUUUCUACCUCUUGCUUCAAAUUGAUUGGAUCAAAUGAAUUUGUUCCUUUAUGCUUUUAUUUCCAGUUUGAAAUGGACAUAUUUAAUGGUCGUUCUCUGUUUAGUAGCAUUGUAUGAUAAUGCAUUCACCAACAACCAUGUAAGAUAUCAAAAUUGCAUUUAUACCGUGGAACAAUUAACCAUAGAGUUCAUGUGAAGCCAACAUGUAAUUCACAUGUCAGUAUAGGAUUUCAUUUUAUUUAUUCAUUUAGUGCUAGCGUGGUUUCUUUUCUAGAAGAGUAAAAGAAAAAAGGAAAAGGAGACCAUAGUUCUUUUAUUGGUUAAAAAUUUCGAAAAAAAAAAAAAACGAAACUGAAGCACUCAAUUGUGGUGACAGUGGUAAUAACUUUUCAUUCUUCAGAUAAGAUUAUAUAGGAUGGUGGUGUUAAUGAUGGUUUCUGUCUGGAUGGGAAGUGGCAGUUCUCCGAAGUGCUAAUAAUGAUUUGACUUCUCUUUUUACUACUCUGUAAUGAGGUUCAAUAGAACCGGAGACAGGUCGGAGAGACGGAGGGCUCGUGUGAAGACAAUUGAUAAGAGAAAGAAAGUGGAAUCAACGGGAGAACUAACUCAAUGGCAGAAAUGGUGAAAUGCCUGAAGUCAUCAUCUUAGAUAAAAACCAAUCCAAGUCAAACCAGAAUUCAAUCUGUAAUAGAGGUGUAAGCAUCAUACAAAUAGAAGCUCUAAAAUAUUUGUGCUUACCUGGCAUAAGGAUGGGUAUUUUUUCUUAUUUUUGCUUUUCUGUCAAAUAAUGGAUGCUCUUCUAAGCUUUAAUCGUGUUUACUAUUUUCCUGUAAAGUGCUUGUUUUGUAUUGUGAUCCUGUUUGAAUUAUCUGCUUGGCAUUUGUGUUGUCUCUCAUUCUGAUGCCAUCUCACAUUAGGACGGAAUUCGACGAUGAUGUCUCUUAGUGAAAUCAAAUUUGUUGAGUUUGACAUGGAUAAAGUCACGUCUGAUUGUGUAAAUCCAACCACUUUCAGGAGAAAAUGGAGCCAUCAUGCUCUUCCGCUCAUGAAAAUUCCCCAACAGAAAUAUGCAACACCAACCUUCUUACUUCCGGAAGGGCCUGGGCCAUCUCACUUUCCCUGAGAAGUCCUAUGCACGAAGAGAUAUCAAAAAUUUGUUUCCCAAGUAAUGCUGGUGAUAUAAAUGAAAAUUUGCUCUAUCGGUUUGUUCGCUCUCCUUUUGUCCAUUCCUUGUAUUAAGGGUAAAAGAGAAAGGAAAUGUACAUGGUUGUGUAGGUUUCAUAAACUAUGAUGCUUACUGCAUCAAAGGAGCUGAGCAGAACAUUUAUUGUAGCUACUGCUUGCUACUCAUAGUUGCAAAAAACUACUUGGUUACAUAUUGUUUUGCAUGUGUUAGCUGCUUUGGUGUAUAUCUUAUAUUUUUGGGCUGCCAAAAAUGUUAAAAUUUGUCAUGCUUGUGCACAUAGAAUCAAAUUUAUAAUUAUUAUUUUAUUUCCUUUUAUUUAAGUAUCUUUCAUAACAUGAAAUAAUGAAAUCAUGUAAAUCUAUUUCUUUUAAUCUAAUUUUAUUGAUUAAACUUUCCUGUUCAGUUUUUUAUUUGCUCUUGUAUCAUUUUUUAAAUACCUGUUUUCUCAUGAAAAAUAUCUUGAAUGCUCAGAAUUAAGAACCAUGUGUGUUAUGUAGAUGUAAUUUCCACAGUCUAUUAUGUGCUCUUGCCAUUCAAAAAUCGUGCAGUUCUUUAGCUAAUGUCUCUUUCAAACCUUGAAUAGAUCAUCUCUUCAUGGGAAAGGUCUGAAUCGGUUCUGGUCAAAUGUCGAGGGCUACAAUGGUCAGUUACUAAUGCUGAUUUCUGCUGCUCACGAGGAUAAUAAAAAUACAAGGAAGUGGAUUAUUAGUGCACUCACCGAUCAGGGUUUUGAAAAUAGGGAAAUGUCUUAUGGAACUUCUGGGUGUCUGUAUGCUAUAAGUCCAGUCUAUCAUGUGUUCUCAUCUUCAGGUUGGUAAAUUAGAAAGUUCUUAUCUUGUUUGGUAAUAUUUUUCCAAAAUUCUGAUAGAAAUUAGUUUGCCCAACUGAAAUUAAGGGAAUAUUUAAAUUCUUGGCAGGAAAGGAGAAAAACUUUGUCUAUAGCCACCUUCAUCCAACUGGUAGGGUGUAUGACGCACAUCCAAUGCCUGUUGGAAUUGCUUUUGGAGGAUCCAUGGGGAACGAGAGAAUAUUUAUGGAUGAGGAUUUUGCUAUGGUCACUGUGCGCCACCAUGCAGUUGAUAAAACAUAUCAACAUGGUAACCUUUUCCCCAGUCAGGUAUGACCAUAAAAUUGUCCAUAUAUUAAAGUAAUAGGAAAGGUUUCACUAUUUUCUCUUGGUACAAAGUGUUCAUGUAAUUCUGCUGCCAUGCCCAUUCUGUCACAAAGGAUGCUUUCGUAUGCAUUUCUGUUCUAUCUGCCCGCUCCUCCUGUGGGGAAGUCUUAUUUGCUUGUUUUAACUUUUCACUUCGACAGUUUUACUUGGAUGGUGUAAAUCUACAUGUUUCAAAAAUCUUAAAGAUCUUUCGUUUCUUAUUCACCUUGAUUACUCUCACUUUUCUUUUUUAUUCAGAUAGCACACCUCCACAUUUUUAUAAAAUCUCGUAAAGAUCAUGACUUUCUAUGCACUCCCUUAAUCACUAUCCUAGCCAUUUAGUUUAGUAUUUAUAUCCAAACCUCA
rnacentral:lncRNA from 1 species